GGUAGGAAUACUACAGCGUGUGGCACAAUGUGCAUAAUACAUAAUGAAUACUUAGAGGUAGGAAUACUACAGCGUGUGGCACAAUGUGCAUAAUACAUAAUGAAUACUUAGAGGUAGGAAUACUACAGCGUGUGGCACAAUGUGCAUAAUACAUAAUGAAUACUUAGAGGUAGGAAUACUACAGCGUGUGGCACAAUGUGCAUAAUACAUAAUGAAUACUUAGAGGUAGGAAUACUACAGCGUGUGGCACAAUGUGCAUAAUACAUAAUGAAUACUUAGAGGUAGGAAUACUACAGCGUGUGGCACAAUGUGCAUAAUACAUAAUGAAUACUUAGAGGUAGGAAUACUACAGCGUGUGGCACAAUGUGCUUAAUACAUAAUGAAUACUUAGAGGUAGGAAUACUACAGCGUGUGGCACAAUGUGCAGAAUACAUAAUGAAUACUUAGAGGUAGGAAUACUACAGCGUGUGGCACAAUGUGCAUAAUACAUAAUGAAUACUUAGAGGUAGGAAUACUACAGCGUGUGGCACAAUGUGCAUAAUACAUAAUGAAUACUUAGAGGUAGGAAUACUACAGCGUGUGGCACAAUGUGCAUAAUACAUAAUGAAUACUUAGAGGUAGGAAUACUACAGCGUGUGGCACAAUGUGCAUAAUACAUAAUGAAUACUUAGAG